rnacentral:rRNA from 1 species
CGGCGGACGGGUGAGUAACACGUGGGCAACCUGCCUGUAAGACUGGGAUAACUUCGGGAAACCGGAGCUAAUACCGGAUAAUAUAAUGAACCUCCUGGUUCUUUAUUGAAAGAUGGUUUCGGCUAUCACUUACAGAUGGGCCCGCGGCGCAUUAUCUAGUUGGUGAGGUAAUGGCUCACCAAGGCGACGAUGCGUAGCCGACCUGAGAGGGUGAUCGGCCACACUGGGACUGAGACACGGCCCAGACUCCUACGGGAGGCAGCAGUAGGGAAUCUUCCACAAUGGACGAAAGUCUGAUGGAGCAACGCCGCGUGAGCGAUGAAGGCCUUCGGGUCGUAAAGCUCUGUUGUUAGGGAAGAACAAGUGCGAGAGUAACUGCUCGCACCUUGACGGUACCUAACCAGAAAGCCACGGCUAACUACGUGCCAGCAGCCGCGGUAAUACGUAGGUGGCAAGCGUUGUCCGGAAUUAUUGGGCGUAAAGCGCGCGCAGGUGGUCCUUUAAGUCUGAUGUGAAAGCCCACGGCUCAACCGUGGAGGGUCAUUGGAAA